rnacentral:lncRNA from 1 species
ACACACGCACACGUUACACGGUCAGCCUGGCCGCAGAUGGCCGGCUACAAAGUUGGUCCAGAGGGCUUGGUUCCCUCGUGCACACGUAACCUAUUCAAAGCGUCACAACUGUCUUGGCAAUACACUAACUAUGACCACAGCGGUGGGCUUGCCAGGCCCGAUUCUGUAAGAAGAGUUAUUCUGUUUUGGUUAGGUAAGUCUUGAAUACAACUCUACUGCUGGGUGACGAACACUGCGCCGGCAGCGCCUAUAUAUACUCCCCUCAAUGGGUCGUACGGCGCUUGGGACUUGCCGUUCAGGCCGAGGACUGUGGCCUGUGGCCUGGCUGGCUUGCCCGGCCUGCCCCCUGUCCUGCUUGGCUUGGCUGGCCUGAGUGGCCGCCAAGCCGCGCAGGCCAUCUGCGCAGCGCCCGCCUCCGCCAAACCUCCUAACACGCACAUCACAUCAUCACCUAUCCUGCUACUCUCACCGCCUCAGGCCUAGCGCCUUGAGGGCUCCUACAGUCAGUCUGUUUCCUCAGGCCUGCGAGGCCCUCCGACACCAUCGACCAGCGCAUUCAGGCGCGCCCUUAUGUCAAACACACAAACACCUGCACACCGACACACCUGGCCUCUCGCCAGCCUUCGUCUUGCCCGCCGCAUGCCCAGGCCGCGCUCAGCUGUCGCUGCUCCGGCCUGGACCCGGUUGCUGAGCCAGCCAUUGCUGCUCAGCAACUGGGAGCCUUAACUGAUCACCGCAUUCACCGUUUUAUGCAGCCGACCCUUCGUCGCCGAGUGCGGCUUUCGACCACUUGCUCGGUCCGCAACCCUUCAGCGACUCCUUGCUCAAACUGCCUUCUUUUUGUCACCUUGAUUACGUAUUGCAUACAUACUACCAAAUGUAAUGCUUCGGGCCCUGGAGUUCGCCACCUGCUUGCCUUUCGUCUUGUGCCGACAGCUUACCGCACUGCUCCCCUACUCGCUCGCUUCUUGUUGUACAUCCAGAUAGCUCAACACAAUCAAUCAAUCUUCAAACGGCCUGUGUACUGCCAGCCCUUUUCCUCACGGUUUGCUUUGCGGAAUCCAGAAUUCGCCUUGUCUCUCACGCCGUCUGCUUGGUGCACUCCAUCUGUAUUUACCCCGCCCAUUUAACUUGGUUGCCAAUAUAGUACACACGGGCUCACGCCUCGCGUUCCAGGUUGGACCGACGUUGCGUGUGCCCGUCCCUGCCGCGGCCUCACCCCUUCACCCAUCCUGAUCUCCCCGUGUUACCCCGCGUUGGAACCCCCAGCACGCACUUGUAUGCUAGCCCGUAACAAUUUUUAGCGGGCUACGUGGCUGGCGAGGACUGGUACAAAACAUGUACUGGCGCUGACAGGAGGUGCCGCGUGCUUUGCACCUACAGCGAGGAGUAAGUGCGUGCGUAGUAGGUGGCGGCACAAGAACGCAGCAGCAAUAAUCCCCAUCCAAUAAAGCAAAACCAACUUACUGUUCCCAUCCAAAAAUUCAAAGGUCUGAUCGAGGCCUUGCUUGGGCACAUACGGCGCCAUCAGAUGCGCCGCUUGGUAGGACUCGCACACAUAUUGGGCUACCGUAACCCGCCGAUCUGAUGGCGGUGGAGGACCUGUCAGAGAUAAAUAGGUAGAGGACGUACAUACGGGAGGUGAAACUUACUUUAUGCGUACAUGAGGUAGCUGCCAUGAUGACAUCUUAUUUUCAACUGCAAUCAAACCAUACAUACCCGGAACUGAUGCCGCUAGGCAGGGCCCAGCGCUCAUUUUCUCCACUUUGUGUGGUCGUCACGGCGAUAUACGUAGUGCUAUCCAGCCCCCCGAAGUAAGCCAAGGUUAGGCCCGCGUUAGCUCUGAGCUUUAAGGUGUAUGAUGACCCGUCGCCUGUCAUUGACAUGGAGCAGGCAGGGUUGCAGUAUUAAUGGCCGAGCACCAGCAGGUAUUGGGCGAGCGAGCGACACACGUGAGCAACUCACACACACGCCCGCCGAUGUACGCCAAACAACGUAUGUAUGUUGCGCCCAUGACGCGCUUCAGCCACAGUUCUCACACAUUACUUACUAUCUGCGUCAAGCCAGAAUUGUUGGUCCAGCGAGGAUGGGUUGCAGGGGGCAGUGAGGAGCCCGGCGCCCGGCCAUGGCUGGGCAACCAAACACAAUUCGGAUGCACUGUUGCGGAUGAGCUUGAACGUAGCACCGGCAUCUGCACGCGGGCGAAUAAAGUAACAGGUGAGAAACACAAUUAGCAGCAGCGGCAAGCAACAGCUAGAUAGGAUAGCCGCAUCGGAUCACUCAUCGUGCAUCAAUCCAGCGCGCGAGCGACGGCCGCCAGAGCGCUCAAGCAACAAGGCAGACUAGCUAGAUAGUGCAGAUGCGCACGUGCGCACGCGUGCAUCACGCACUCACCAGCCUGAGGAGGCAGGGGUGGUGGUAGUGGUGGAGGGGACGGCGGUGGGAGGGGAGGUAGGGGAGACGGGGACGGGGGCGCUGGCGGCAGCGGUAGCAGUAAGGGAGCUGCGGGCGGGAGGCAAGCAGCGAUGGAUUUAUCAGCAUGCAUGUUCAUAAUACAUAUAUGUUCACAACGCAAGCGCCGUGCGCGCCAGAUAGCUAGAGUAACCAGCGACCAUACAUACACGACUAAUACGAACUUUACCUGCAAACAAGAAGGCCACGCGGUGGACGUAGUUGUCAGGGCUGGGCUGUGACUGCGUCUGGAUUCCGGCGAACCAAUGGCCGGCUGGGACUGGCACCCAGGACUGCCCGCUGGUGCACAGCGUGCUACUGCCGACGUAGAGGAUGGUGCCGUUCGACAGCUGCAGCUGCAGGGUCUGCGCUGCGUUGCCCCAGCCGCUGCUGCCCGCGCAGCAGGCGCGCACGGCCAUAAUGUCCAAACCGUCAACGUUAGAAACCAGGUAUUCCGCCCCCACUGAGCUGCUGCUGUCACCGUGGAGGGCGCCGAGAGGGGUGCCCGCUGCUGCAUAUGCGCUGAUCUCCACCCACAUCGGGCCGCUGUUGGUGUCUGUGCGGGCUGCCAGUGCGGCUAGUUUCGUGUACGCGGCCAGAUCGCCGUCAGACACCGUGUUGACGUAGGUGGUGGUGACGCUUCCGCACAUGUAGUCUGAGACCUGGACCUUGUACAGCUCUGUAUAUUUUGUCGUUUCAGGAAGGAGGGUUGCAAGCACAGACUCGAGGGGCACCAGGGUAAUGAAUCUUGUGCGGCUUGUGAGCGAGGGUGGAUGGAGAAGCAAGCCGGCGACUACGGCGACUACUCCCUUGGGUAUGUACGUACGGCAAGCACAGACUCGAGGGGCACCAGGGUAAUGAAUCUUGUGCGGCUUGUGAGCGAGGGUGGAUGGAGAAGCAAGCCGGCGACUACGGCGACUACUCCCUUGGGUAUGUACGUACGGCGGCGGAAUACAUUAAUAAAAACUACCCAGGCUGCUGGACGGCAUAUCGAAGUAUCCUAACGAAAUGUUGUGCGAGAGGAAGGGCCUUGCAACGUAUCUACGGUUAUUAUGUGCGUCUUUUCGAGCAUGUGCGUGUGUGCGCCCGCCCAGCUGCCAUGGAUAUACGUCCAGUAUGUAUGGCAACGCUUACUUGCAGCAGGCGGGCGGGGGAAGCAAGCCCAGGGCUUACCAUGAAUAAUAUAUACACCGUUGGUGUACGGACCCCCACAGACCUGUGAGAUAAAGUGUGACGAAUUGUGUAUGUAUGCGUGUGCGUGUGAGAAUAUGUACCAUCAAUCAAGCGGUAACUACUGUCUGUCCAUAUUCCGUGCACUGCUAGAUGCAUGGACGUGCACCGGAUUGGCUUCAAGUUCCUAAUUCUACCUACCUGGCUGCUGUUGCCACCGCACGGCCUUGUGCAUUCCUCAGAAUGGCCAAGGCUUGUCGCUAAGGAAAGGUCAUUGCCUCCAAAGCAAAACCACGAGAACUGCACACCGUACAGCCUGAGUCCAGCGGCGCGAGCCAGGGCGGCACAAUCCUCCAGCGUCAAAUCCUUUUUAUCCCAUGCCAGUACUACCGGCAUCGUGCGUUUGUCACUAUCAUGAAAGCAGCCGUAGUACAGUCCCGUUUGACCACCCGGGGGCGGUGUGGGAGGAAGUGGAGGAGAGGGCGGGUUGGGGCUCGGAGGCGGGCUCAGGACUGUUGUGGGCGUGUGUAUGUGGGAGGGGGGGAAGGGGCAUGAUCAACCCAACACAAGGGCCGGCAUCUAUCACCGCACCUAAUACGGUAUGCGCAAGGCCUUUCUACGGAGCGGGCGGUAGGGCCCUGGACAUUGGGCCCCAGCAGGCUCACCGUCGAGACGGUAUACGUUACUUGCGUAUGGUCCUCCACAAAUCUGUGAGGCACACAUUUGGCAAUGGCAAGCAACGGCGCGCGUAAUGAGCAGCACAUACUGGUAUGUGACGUGACGUCCUUCGUUGGGACAUUUAUAACCUUGCUUGGUCUGCAAAACGGUGUAUAUAUGUGACAUGCAUCGUUCCUACCUGGUUGCUGUUGCCACCGCACGGCAUUGUGCAUUCCUCAGAAGGGCCAAGGCUUGUCGCUAAGGACAUGUCGUUGCCUCCAAAGCAAAACCACGAGAACUGCACACCGUACAGCAUCAGUCCAAAGGCGCGAGCCAGGGCGGCACAAUCCUCCAGCGUCAAAUCCUUUUUAUUCCAUGCCAGGAGAAACGGCAGUCUGCGGCCAUCUAUCAGGACUGUCCUUGAAACAGCCGUAGAGGCCACUGGGGGGUGCCGGAGGAGGUAACGGCGCGGGUGGAACUGCAAAAAGCACGCAAUCAAGAAUGAUGGGCAUGAAGGUACAUUUAGGUUGUCUGCUGCUGCAAGUAAGCCAUCCAGAAAUGGGCAGUGUCAUUCAGAGUCCACCAUGCGUCCACACACCGCAUAACGACCUGACUCCAUCCAUCCCUGGCGUUUUAAUCCGGCGCGUACGUGCGAACCCAAUUCCCAUAUAUGUUUAGAGUGAUCACCUGGUGGAGGUGGCGACGGUGAGGGCGGUUCGGGACUUGGAGGCGGGCUAAGGCCUGCGUGCUCAGCAGCAGGCAGGCGCAAAGGCAGCAGGCGAUAAUGAUCAGUCCCACACAAGCCCGCUGCUCAUUCUAAUAUGAGUCCAUCAACAUGGACGACGAUGUUGCUAGUAAUGCUCAAAAGGGCAGAUGGCUCGAGACAGCGGCGUUUCUCUAGCUCUCUAGCUCGAUAUGCUAGGUGUGCAGGCUUGGACGUAGUGGACUUUGAAGAGCGGCCUAGGACAUGGAGGUUGUAGUUUGGAGGUUGUGACUCUUUCGUGGUGAGGCGUCAGCGUGAGGGGGGCGGGCCCUCUCGCCCUAGUCACCUUGCCCCGUUAAUCCAUGCCAGGCCCUAUGGGCCGGCGUUGUAAUUAUUAUUAUUAUUCUCGAGACAGCGCGCACGUGAGUGAUGAGAGAAUGGAAUAGCAGGUACAGCAGUACGUAGCAGCAUGCCUGCCUGCCGUGUUGAUAACCCAACACCAGGGUCACCACACUACACAGGAGUUGAUAGCCCAACACCAGGCGGCAGGGUCGCCACACUACACAGGAGGUGAUAACCCAACACCAGGGUCGCCAUACUACACAGGAGGUGCGUGAUAACCCAACACUAGUGUGGUGCACUAGACAGGAGGUGAUAGCGGAAAUGUGUGCGUGUGUGUGUGUGUGUAACAACGGUUUGCAGUUGUUUAUCAGAUCACGUGAUCGUGUAUCCGGACAACCCGUAGUUGCUAGUGCCAGGGCGCAUUAGCACCAUUGUUAAACACAAAACAAACGGAACAAAGCCGCUGAACACGCGUGCGCAGUUACGGACCACGGUUUGUGUGUGUGUGUGUGUGUGUGUGUGUGUGUGUGUGUGUGUGUGUGUGUGUGUGUGUGUGUGUGUGUGUGUGUGUGUGUGUGUGUGUGUGUGUGUGUGUGUGUGUGUGUGUGUGUAACAACGGUUUACAAUUGUUUAUCAGAUCACGUGAUCGUGUAUCCGGACAACCUGUAUUUGCUAGUGCCAGGGGCGCAUUAGCACCUUGUUUGUCGCGCAUUGGUCUGGCAGCACAUGUCUCCCAAGCCUACGCGUAGCGUUAGACGUCAGUUUGGCCACAGGCGCCGCACCUCCAUCUAUUGUGGUUAGACACUGAUUUGGCCCUAAGGAUGCGAAUUACAAUUGAAGGGACAGUCCGACAAGCGGGGGCACACCGUACCCACGCCGCGAGGGACCGUCUCCGGCCCAGAGAGAAACACCCACCCCCUGGUUGACUGCCGACCUUCAUAGCGUUACGCGCAUGAGUCGAAGCCAAGCCGAAGCCCGCCAAAGCCCCACCGCCACGUAACACCCCUCAUCUCUUUUAGGUCUUUUGGCGGCAGCACCAACGCAAAACAAGGCACGACAGGCCAGUGGUCUGCCGACAGCCCCAUCAAACGCAAGCACCACACAAAUAUCACGUCCGAAGACGAUGGCUGGCGUCAGAGACGCGCAAUGUCUUGGCCCGAAGGUCCGCACCUCCGUCUAUAUUGGUGAGACUUCGGUUUGGCCCUAGGAGCCGCACCUCCGUUUAUAUCAACACUGCUGCGAGCCGGCAGCUGGACACCAUGCCUUGUUUGUUNNNNN